rnacentral:tRNA from 1 species
GCGCCCGUAGCUCAGUCGGCAGAGCAGCUCCCUUUUAAGGAGAUGGUCGUAGGUUCGAUUCCUACCGGGCGCACCA